rnacentral:rRNA from 1 species
AGUGAACGCUGGCGGUAGGCCUAACACAUGCAAGUCGAACGGCAGCACAGUAAGAGCUUGCUCUUACGGGUGGCGAGUGGCGGACGGGUGAGGAAUACAUCGGAAUCUACUUUUUCGUGGGGGAUAACGUAGGGAAACUUACGCUAAUACCGCAUACGACCUACGGGUGAAAGCAGGGGAUCUUCGGACCUUGCGCGAUUGAAUUAGCCGAUGUCGGAUUAGCUAGUUGGCGGGGUAAAUGCCCACCAAGGCGACGAUCCGUAGCUGGUCUGAGAGGAUGGUCAGCCACACUGGAACUGAGACACGGUCCAGACUCCUACGGGAGGCAGCAGUGGGGAAUAUUGGACAAUGGGCGCAAGCCUGAUCCAGCCAUACCGCGUGGGUGAAGAAGGCCUUCGGGUUGUAAAGCCCUUUUGUUGGGAAAGAAAAGCAGCAGGUUAAUACCACGCUGUUCUGACGGUACCCAAAGAAUAAGCACCGGCUAACUUCGUG